rnacentral:rRNA from 1 species
UACGUAGGGAGCAAGCGUUGUUCGGAAUUAUUGGGCGUAAAGAGCGCGUAGGCGGUCUAGUAAGUCCGAUGUGAAAUCCCAGAGCUUAACUCUGGAACUGCAUUGGAAACUGCUAGGCUUGAGUGCGGGAGAGGUGAGUGGAAUUCCCAGUGUAGAGGUGAAAUUCGUAGAUAUUGGGAGGAACACCGGUGGCGAAGGCGGCUCACUGGACCGCAACUGACGCUGAGGCGCGAAAGCUCGGGGAGCAAACGGG